GACGAACGCUGGCGGCGUGCCUAAUACAUGCAAGUUGAGCGCUGAAGGUUGGUACUUGUACCAACUGGAUGAGCAGCGAACGGGUGAGUAACGCGUGGGGAAUCUGCCUUUGAGCGGGGGACAACAUUUGGAAACGAAUGCUAAUACCGCAUAAAAACUUUAAACACAAGUUUUAAGUUUGAAAGAUGCAAUUGCAUCACUCAAAGAUGAUCCCGCGUUGUAUUAGCUAGUUGGUGAGGUAAAGGCUCACCAAGGCGAUGAUACAUAGCCGACCUGACAGGGUGAUCGGCCACACUGGGACUGAGACACGGCCCAAACUCCUACGGGAGGCAGCAGUAGGGAAUCUUCGGCAAUGGACGAAAGUCUGACCGAGCAACGCCGCGUGAGUGAAGAAGGUUUUCGGAUCGUAAAACUCUGUUGGUAGAGAAGAACGUUGGUGAGAGUGGAAAGCUCAUCAAGUGACGGUAACUACCCAGAAAGGGACGGCUAACUACGUG
rnacentral:rRNA from 1 species